rnacentral:lncRNA from 1 species
ACCAGAGUCAAGGAGACAUGGGCCAUUUGUCUCUCCAACGGAGUCUAUCCAGACAAAGUGGAUUCUUCAGCCUGUUUUGGAGGUCUGAGCCCGUUUCCCAAUGCUGUGAGACUUGGCUACAUGAUGUAUGUUACCAGGGAAUAUGUCUUCCUUUGUACUCGGAAGUGACUCUGCUGCCUAAUUUGGUGCCCAGCACUCAACAGCACCCGAAAGAGGGGAUUCUAGAUGUGGCAAAACCCAAGUCAGUGACAAACUCCCUUUUUGGAGGAAGCACAACUCUUGGCAUUCUGAUCAUUCUGGCAGAUGAUUUGGAGUGAGGUGGAGUCCAGUGAGGUUGUGUUACUGACCAGUCUUAGCCCCUAUUCUGACCCAGUCUCCCACUGCUCUACCAUAACUAUUCUGUUGCCAAGAUGCUAAAUUCCUUUGCUGCUUUCCCCUUCGUUGGGCAAAGGCCCAGUCUUGAUGAAAGGUAACCAACUUCUCCUCCUUUGCUUGUAUCUAAGCAGUAAAUUGUUGUUAAAACAUUGUACCCAUCUGAG